rnacentral:rRNA from 1 species
GGAUCAUUACAAGAAGCCGAAAGGCUACUUCAAACCAUCGCGAACUCGUCCAAGUUGCUUCGGCGGCGCGGCACCCCUUAACGGGGGCGCCGCAGCCCUGCCUCUCCGGAGGUUCGGGGCGCCCGCCGGAGGUACGAAACUCUGUAUUAUAGUGGCAUCUCUGAGUAUAAAACAAAUAAGUUAAAACUUUCAACAACGGAUCUCUUGGUUCUGGCAUCGAUGAAGAACGCAGCGAAAUGCGAUAAGUAAUGUGAAUUGCAGAAUUCAGUGAAUCAUCGAAUCUUUGAACGCACAUUGCGCCCGGUAGUACUCUACCGGGCAUGCCUGUUCGAGCGUCAUUUCAACCCUCAAGCCCUGCUUGGUGUUGGGGCCCUACGGCUGCCGUAGGCCCUGAAAGGAAGUGGCGGGCUCGCUACAACUCCGAGCGUAGUAAUUCAUUAUCUCGCUAGGGAGGUUGCGGCGUGCUCCUGCCGUUAAAGACCCAUCUUUAACCAAGGUUGACCUCGGAUCAGGUAGGAAUACCCGCUGAACUUAAGCAUAUCAAUAAGCGGAGGAAAAGAAACCAACAGGGAUUGCCCUAGUAACGGCGAGUGAAGCGGCAACAGCUCAAAUUUGAAAUCUGGCUUCGGCCCGAGUUGUAAUUUGUAGAGGAUGCUUUUGGUGAGGUGCCUUCUGAGUUCCCUGGAACGGGACGCCAGAGAGGGUGAGAGCCCCGUAUAGUCGGCCACCGAUCCUUUGUAAAGCUCCUUCGACGAGUCGAGUAGUUUGGGAAUGCUGCUCAAAAUGGGAGGUAUAUCUCUUCUAAAGCUAAAUAUAGGCCAGAGACCGAUAGCGCACAAGUAGAGUGAUCGAAAGAUGAAAAGCACUUUGAAAAGAGGGUUAAAUAGCACGUGAAAUUGUUGAAAGGGAAGCGCUUGUGACCAGACUUGUGCCGGGCUGAUCAUCCAGUGUUCUCACUGGUGCACUCGACCCGGCUCAGGCCAGCGUCGGUUUUCGUGGGGGGAUAAAAGCUUCGGGAACGUGGCACCUUCGGGUGUGUUAUAGCCCGUUGCUUAAUACCUCCGUGGAGA